rnacentral:rRNA from 1 species
GACGAACGCUGGCGGCGUGCCUAAUACAUGCAAGUAGAACGCUGAAGCGAGGAGCUUGCUCUUCUUGGAUGAGUUGCGAACGGGUGAGUAACGCGUAGGUAACCUGCCUGGUAGCGGGGGAUAACUAUUGGAAACGAUAGCUAAUACCGCAUAAAAUUGUUUAUUGCAUGAUUAUUAAUUGAAAGAUGCAACUGCAUCACUACCAGAUGGACCUGCGUUGUAUUAGCCAGUUGGUGAGGUAACGGCACACCAAGGCGACGAUACGUAGCCGACCUGAUAGGGUGGUUGGCCACACCUGGACGUGAACACGGGCCAGAAGACGAAGGGGAGCAGCAGUAGGGGAACUUCGGCAAUGGGGGGAACCCUGACCGAGCAACGCCGCGUGAGUGAAGAAGGGUUUCGGAUCGUAAAGCUCUGUUGUAAGAGAAGAACGAGAGUGAGAGUGAAAAGUUCACACUGUGACGGUAUCUUACCAGAAAGGGACGGCUAACUACGUG